GAUGAACGCUGACAGAAUGCUUAACACAUGCAAGUCGAUUCAAGUUACCUUCGGGUAAUGAGGAUGGCGGACGGGUGAGUAACGCGUAAGGAACUUGCCUCUUGGUCUGGGACAACUGUUGGAAACGACAGCUAAUACCGGAUAUUAUGAGAUUCUCGCAUGGGAAACUUAUGAAAGCUAUAUGCGCCAAGAGAGAGCCUUGCGUUCCAUUAGCUAGUUGGUGGGGUAAUGGCCCACCAAGGCGACGAUGGAUAGCCGGCCUGAGAGGGUGAACGGCCACAAGGGGACUGAGACACGGCCCUUACUCCUACGGGAGGCAGCAGUGGGGAAUAUUGGACAAUGGGCCACAAGCCUGAUCCAGCAAUUCUGUGUGCACGAUGAAGGUCUUCGGAUUGUAAAGUGCUUUCAGUUGGGAAGAAGAAAGUGACGGUACCAACAGAAGAAGCGACGGCUAAAUACGUGCCAGCAGCCGCGGUAAUACGUAUGUCGCAAGCGUUAUCCGGAUUUAUUGGGCGUAAAGCGCGUCUAGGCGGAAAAAUAAGUCUGAUGUUAAAAUGCGGGGCUCAACUCCGUAUUGCGUUGGAAACUGUUUUUCUAGAGUACUGGAGAGGUGGGCGGAACUACAAGUGUAGAGGUGAAAUUCGUAGAUAUUUGUAGGAAUGCCGAUGGAGAAGUCAGCUCACUGGACAGANACUGACGCUGAAGCGCGAAAGCGUGGGGAGCAAACAGGAUUAGAUACCCUGGUAGUCCACGCCGUAAACNAUGAUCACUAGG
rnacentral:rRNA from 1 species